rnacentral:rRNA from 1 species
AUAACACCUGGAAACAGAUGCUAAUACCGGAAUAACAACAGAUGAUGCCUAUCAACUGUUUAAAAGAUGGUUCUGCUAUCACUCUUGGAUGGACCUGCGGUGCAUUAGCUAGUUGGUAGGGUAACGGCCUACCAAGGCGAUGAUGCAUAGCCGAGUUGAGAGACUGAUCGGCCACAUUGGGACUGAGACACGGCCCAAACUCCUACGGGAGGCAGCAGGA